rnacentral:pre_miRNA from 1 species
GGUUGCCUAUACGUGUUCACUGUGUUGGCUUUAGUGAAAAGCUUACAAUUAAGGCACGCGGUGAAUGCGUAGGGGAAGUCC